UUCUCUCCUUUUGAUCUGUCUAUGGCUUUUUCAUUGUGCUUUUUCCAAAACAGAAGAUUUGGGAAAUUUAUCAGAGCUGACAGUCUCAUCUCUUUCUCUCCUUCCCUUUAAUUCCAGUGAUUCAAAAUUUUGUUGUGUGUGUGUGACUGUAAAUUCGAUAUAGGGAUUUGGGAAGGAGUUGUUGGAGAAGGAGGUGACGAAGGCUGCAGAGCCGCUGCCAUCUCGCACACUAACCCCAUGAACCCAAGACACCCAUUUCUCCAGAAUGCACUCAACUUCUUCUUCACCAAUCGUUCGCUGCCACUUUAGGGCUCGCUGUCCCUUAACGACACUCCGGCCUCCGUCGUUGAUUCCAAGAGCGGUGUGUUGUUUCCGUCGGUCCUGGCCGGGACUCAGCGACUUCUGGGAAUUGGGUUGAGGAGAAAACUCAUGCUGGGUUUGUAGAACAUCGAUUUGUAUUCAUAUGGUAUCAUAUUUCUCAAUCACCAUCGCUUUCGGCCUCCCUCCGACCCUCCGACUCACCAUCGCUCUCACCCUCAAUCACUAUCGCUCUCAGCCUCCCUCCGACUCACCAUCGCUCUCACCCUCAAUCACCAUCGCUCUCGGCCUCCCUCUGACUCACCAUCGCUCUCACCCUCAAAUUAGUUGGUUUGAUAACGUUCACUCCUCCAAAUUAGUUGGUUCGGUGAUUGAUCAAAUUGAUAGAGUUUGGUUCUUUUUUGGUGUUUGUUCUUCUUUAAAUUGAGAUUUUGAGUGGAUAUGUGCAUAUUUUGGUCCGUCUAACCAUCGUCGCUGCGAAAUUUGUGGGUGUUGGAUUGGUUUUCGGGUGCAGCUUCUGGGAUUUCUUUACUCCUUCGGUUCUUCAGCUCAGGAUUUCUUUCCCCAAAAAGAAGGUGCAGGGGCUUCUUUGAGUCUUGCCGGGACAAUGCUUGUAUUCUACCCUGUGAGGAUUACUGAAAGCAAGAGUUCAUUGUUACAGUUUCAAUCUUUCACGAAAUUUGACUACUUGAUAUGAACAAGUGAGAGUAAGAAUGACGAUGGUGGCUGGGGACUACACAUCGAAGGUCACAGCACCAUGUUCAGCACAGCUCUCAGCUAUAUUUGUAUGCGUAUUCUCGGAGAAGGACCUGAUGAUGGGGGCCAAGACAAUGCUUGUCCAAGAGCUAGAAAGUGGAUUCUUGAUCAUGAUGGUGUCACACACAUGCCCUCUUGGGGAAAGACUUGGCUUUCGAUACUUGGUUUGUUUGAUUGGUCUGGAAGCAACCCUAUGCCCCCAGAGUUUUGGAUUCUUCCUUAAUUUCUUCCUAUGCAUCCAGACCAGCAGCUCUGAUUGAUAACUUGAUAAAUUGGAGGUGUUUUUGUAAACUGGUCCAAAUACUUUUAGCCUUGGAGAUGCUUUAGGAAUUGCGCAGCACCACGAUGCAGUCAUAGGCACUUCUAAACAGCACACAACAAGUGACUAUGCAAAGCGCCUGUUUAUUGGUGCCUCUGAGGCAGAAGCUGUUGUCAGUGCUGCUCUAUCAUGCCUAACUACAGGUAAAUCAGGAGAGCAAUGUAAGGACCCAGCAUUGACUUUUAGCCAGGUUCUGGUGCAUACAUUUUUCGCCCCGAGUCCUUUCCAAAAAUUGUGUCAAGAUCAGUAAACUUGAAGGUCUUUCGUGGACCACUAGUCGAUGAGAUUCACCAAGAGUUCAGUUCAUGGAUCUAUCAGGUCAGAGAGUUGGAACUCUUCUGGUAUCCGAGAUCCUUAAUUAGCGGCCUAACUUGUUUAUGUUAGUCUCUCCAUUAUUUUUGGAGAUAGUAAACCACAUUUUGAUAAAUCUGGGCUUGGAUUUGUAUAUCAUGUGUGCAAGAACUAUAUACUGUAUAAA